rnacentral:lncRNA from 1 species
CCAGUCUGAACAACAGGGAGAAAAAAUACUGGAAAAAAAUUAACAGAGCUUCAGAGAUAUGUGGGACAAUACAGUUUUUUUUUUUUUUUAAUCUACGAUUGGUGUAAUUGGAGUCCUAGUAGAGCAGUGUGGGGCUGCAGAAGUUUUCAAGGAACUAAUGGCUAUGUCCCACAUUUGGGGGAAGGCAAGAGCCUACAGAUUCAGGAAUCUGAACAAACCCCAAAGAGGAUAAACCCAAAGAAAUACAUGCCAAGGCACCUCAGAGUCAGACUUUUGAGAACUCAACAAGAUCUUAAGAGCAGCAGGAGACGAUGCAUUUCCCUCCAGGGAAAAACAAUUCGAAGGGUAGCAGUUCCUCAUCAGCAGUCACAGAGGCCAGAUCACACAGCAUCAUUUUUCACAUACUGAAAGAAGGAAAAUCUAUACCCCAAAUUCUAUACUCAGUGAAGAUAUCCUUUAGGAUAUGAAGCUAAAAUCAGACAUUUUGACAUGAAGGAAAACUAAGAUAAUUUGUUGCCAAGAAAUUAACCCUUAAAGAAUAGCAAACUAAUAGAAGUUCUUCAAAGAAGGGAUGUAGGAAUGGAAGGAAACCUGGAACAUCAGGAAUGAGGAACGAACAUAAAGAGUAAAAAUAUGGGUGAAUAUAAUAGAUGAUCCUUUCCCUCUUGAGGAAAUCAUACUCGACAGUUGAAGCCAAAAUUACUGUCUGAUGUGGGUCUCAUUAUAUGUAGAGGAAACAUGUAAGACAAUUAUAUUAUAAAAGAACCUAGGUGGAGGUAAAGUUUCUACACUUAUUUGAAAAGUAAAAUGUCAAUACCAGUAGGCUGUGAUAAGUUACAGGUUAUAAUAUGAUGCCUAGAGCAACCACUAGAAAAUCUAUAUCAAGAGAUGUACUCAAAAACACUGCUGAUAAAUCAAAGUGGAAUUCAAGCAAUUCACAAGAAGGCAGGAAAUAAAAGAAACAAAUAAUGCAGAUGGCUGAGCCAUACUCCAGACCUACUGAAUCAGAACCUCCAGGACUGGUGCCUGGGAAUAUGGAUUUUUAUUUAGCAACUACUCCUGAGGAUUCCAGUAAUCAGCCAGGCUUGAGAACAUCUGGAGUAGACAAGUAUUUUUUAAACAGCAAGUUGCCAACCUGGCUUUCACCAGUUCUCGGGAUGCCCAUAGGGAUGGGUGAAGCCCGCCUGGCCUGUGGUGCUUCCCAGUGGCCGUCAUCUCACUAG